AAUAUGAUACAGAAGACUUAGGGAUCUUUGGGAAAGGUCCUCUGGAAGUUAAGCAGCAGCUACCUCUGCUAGCCUGGAGUGCAGCCCUGGGCUUUUUUUCUCCUUUCUGUUGAAGACUGUAUGCACUUAGAUGACUACAGGCAGCAUGCUCUUCUUUCUACUGUCUUUUCAUGAAGGAAGAAAAGGUGGAGAGGAACCAUACAUGUCUGUUGUCUUGUCCCACUCGGUGUGUUCUGAGAGAGGAUUAUCUUCUUCCUGAGGAAGCCAACAGAAGAAAACAUGACGUGAUUCGUUUCAACUCACAGCCAUUUCUGAAAGUCGUGGAGAUGGCAAAGGGCAGUCAUGUCUUUAAAGUCACAGAAGUGGGAGCUGGACUUCAGACUUUAGGAGAGUCAACAGCGGACUGUUGCUACCUCCUUGAAUUGAAAGAAGUCUGUAUCAGAAAUAUCAUGAUAGUAUCACAUACCAACAAUCAGAAUCCCUGCUUUGAGGAUGACUUCUCAUAUUCAGCACCAUCUAUACUUGUUCUUGUACCUGUAUGUAAACCGACACAAGGUAAAUUGGUCACAAAGUAAUUGCUUAAAUUAUGCUACGGGAGUUUCAUGCCUCAUACUGGGAAAAAUUUCUCCUCAGAAAGAUGAUGAGGAAUCGGAACAGGCAGCCCGUUGAGGUG
ensembl:lncRNA